UACGUAGGGUGCGAGCGUUAAUCGGAAUUACUGGGCGUAAAGCGUGCGCAGGCGGUUCGUCGUGUCCGAUGUGAAAGCCCCGGGCUCAACCUGGGAAUGGCAUUGGAAACUGGCGGACUCGAGUGUGGCAGAGGGGGGUGGAAUUCCGCGUGUAGCAGUGAAAUGCGUAGAGAUGCGGAGGAACACCGAUGGCGAAGGCAGCCCCCUGGGCUAACACUGACGCUCAGGCACGAAAGCGUGGGGAGCAAACGGG
rnacentral:rRNA from 1 species